rnacentral:lncRNA from 1 species
UGAGAGGAAGAAGAAGAUAGAGAGGGAGAGGGAGAGGAUGGGUGAGAGAGGAAGAGGCGGGAUGAGGGUUUUGGAAAAAAAAGUGUGAUUGAAAUGGGGCUAUUUUGGUCCAAAAAACAGUUUUCCGACAAAGCUGAAAACAACGUUUUCGGAAAGCUCCAAAUUGGAGCUUCUCCCCAAAAGCUGUUUUCAGCUUCCCGUAAAGGCUGAAAUAACUAUCCGAAAAUUUUACCAAACAUUAUUUUUUAUCUAAAUGAUGCAGGAGCACCACCCUCAUCCUAAUGGCGUGGGACAUUGGGUGAGGGGUGAAGAGAAUUUGAGUCCAAGAACAGUUGAGUCCAAGCUGAAAUUAGAUUGAGUCCCUGCAAUAAGUGAUUUGAUUCACAAUGAGUUAGCCUCUUCAGUGUCAAUUAGAUUGAGUCCAAGGCGUGAAUGGGUCCAUGGCUAAUUAGAAGUGGUCACAUGUCAAAAUAAAGAGAAGUUCAACCAUGAAGACCUCUCACAUGUGGAAGAAAUUCA